CAGCAGCCGCGGGAAUACGUAGGUGGCAAGCGUUGUCCGGAAUUAUUGGGCGUAAAGGGCUCGCAGGCGGUUUCUUAAGUCUGAUGUGAAAGCCCCCGGCUCAACCGGGGAGGGUCAUUGGAAACUGGGAAACUUGAGUGCAGAAGAGGAGAGUGGAAUUCCACGUGUAGCAGUGAAAUGCGUAGAGAUGUGGAGGAACACCAGUGGCGAAGGCGACUCUCUGGUCUGUAACUGACGCUGAGGAGCGAAAGCUAGGGGAGCAAACGGGAUUAGAUACCCCUGUAGUCCCUGUCUCUUAUAC
rnacentral:rRNA from 1 species